rnacentral:rRNA from 1 species
GACGAACGCUGGCGGCGUGCCUAAUACAUGCAAGUCGAACGAGAGCGACCGGUGCUUGCACUGGUCAAUCUAGUGGCGAACGUGUGUGUAACACGUGGGUAACCUGCCCAUCAUAGUGGGAUAACAUCCGGAAACGUAUGCUAAAACCGCAUAUUUCUUCUAACCGCAUGGUUUUUUGAGGUAAAUAGUCUCUUGCUUCUGCUGCUGGUUGGACCCGCGGUGCAUUAGCUAGUUGGUGAGGUAACGGCUCACCAAGGCCGUGAUGCAUAGCCGACCUGAGAGGGUGAUCGGCGACAUUGGGACUGAGACACGGAACAAAGUACUACGGGAGGCAGCAGUAGGGAAUAUUCCGCAAUGGACGCAAGUAUGACGGAGCAACGCCGCGUGAGUGAAGAAGGUUUUCGGAUCGUAAAACUCUGUUGUUAGAGAAGAACAAGUGCUAGAGUAAAUGUUAGCGGAUUGACGGUAUCUAAAAAGAAAGCCACGGCUAACUACGUG